GACGAACGCUGGCGGCAGGCCUAACACAUGCAAGUCGAACGGAUCCUUCGGGAUUAGUGGCGGACGGGUGAGUAACACGUGGGAACGUGCCCUUUGGUUCGGAACAACUCAGGGAAACUUGAGCUAAUACCGGAUGUGCCCUUCGGGGGAAAGAUUUAUCGCCAUUGGAGCGGCCCGCGUCUGAUUAGCUAGUUGGUGAGGUAAAGGCUCACCAAGGCGACGAUCAGUAGCUGGUCUGAGAGGAUGAUCAGCCACAUUGGGACUGAGACACGGCCCAAACUCCUACGGGAGGCAGCAGUGGGGAAUCUUGCGCAAUGGGCGAAAGCCUGACGCAGCCAUGCCGCGUGAAUGAUGAAGGUCUUAGGAUUGUAAAAUCCUUUCACCGGUGAAGAUAAUGACUGUAGCCGGAGAAGAAGCCCCGGCUAACUUCGUGCCAGCCGCCGCUGUAAAAC
rnacentral:rRNA from 1 species